CUUCUCCCACGGCCGCACCUCCCUCUCCUCCUUCCAGGCCGCCGCCCUCUCCUCCUUCCUCCCGCCUCACCUCUCUCUCUCCUUCCAAACCCUAGGCCCGAGCCCGCCUCCCUGCCGUGCCGCCCCACCGCCUCCUCCCUCGCUUGCUUCCUCUCCUCCCGCAGCCGCCUCCCUCCCUCCCUCACUCGCUUCUAAUCCGGCGGCGGCGGCGGCUGCUGCCGCGCCCGCGCCAGUCUGCUCCUCGCCGCCAUCACCUCCUUUGUCCGGCGGCGACGCAUGCCGUGCCCGUCUGCUCCGCCCGCACUUGUGCCGCCCCCUCUCCUCGUCCUCCCGCCUCACCUCUCUCUCCCCCUCCUAACCCUAACCCACGCCCGCCUCCCUGCCCCGUCGCCGCUGGCCCGGGUACCCAUCCUCGACCUCAAGCUGGGUCGCGGCGGAUCAGGAUGGGCGCUCCCGACGGCGCGGGGCACGGCGGCUGCCAAUGGAGCCGACGGAUGUGGAGGCUGCCGAGCAUUGGUGUUCGCGUGAAGGAGGAAGAGGAUGAUGAGCUUCGGGAAUGACAAGACUCUUUUGAUUCAUCUCUCCACAGAUCAAGUUUAUGAGGGAGUGAAAUCCUUCUACAAAGAGGAGGAUGAGACACUGCCGGUGAAGAUGUAUGGCAAAUCAAAAGUUGCUGCAGAGAAGUUCAUUACUGAGAAAUGCUCAAAUUAUGCAAUCUUGAGAAGCAGCAUUAUUUAUGGGCCAUAAACAAUCUCUCCCGUGGAGAAUUCGCUCCCUAUCCAGUGGAUGAACUCUGUCCUUUCACAAGGCCAACAAGUUGAUUUUUUAAUGAUGAGUACCGCUGCCCAGUUUAUGUAAAAGAUAUGGUGGAUGUAAUAUUGUCUUUAACGAAAAGUUGGUUAUCAGGGGGGUUGGAUCCCAAGGGGCAGAGAUGCAGCCCCCCAGAGCCGCUGGGAACAAGAAGAUGAUGAGCUACAUUUGAGAUGGAGAGGACUAGCCUUUGGAGCAGGCUAGAUAUGUUAUUGGAUAUUGAAGGAUUUGGAGCAGGCUGCAUUUUCUAUGACAGACUGGUUAUGCAUGGAUUUGAAUGUUGCUCGACAGGAGGAGUGCAGGAACCACCGGCCACCCCUUCUCCCUCGUCCUCAGGCCUCAACGCCGCUGCUGACGCCUCCGGGAGCUUGGAAGGUAUCGGCGACGACGCCCACAAGGCCGUGAUUGUAAAGGAGAUGAAAUGCACAUGUAUAUCCUUGAUAAAGAUCUCUGUAAUUUUAUAUGAGCUCACGAGGACAGUGCUGUUGCAUCUAAAUCGACAAGUUGUUGAAUAAGAUGGUCUCUUUGUGCUUGCCUGCAAAUCUUUUGCAUCUUAUAUUUGUUGGAUAAGGACUGAUGGUUGAUUGAUUAUCUCAAACCAUCAGUUGAGAACAUAGAGAUUUUCAGUUUACAAGUUAAGGGGUUUGGCUGGUCCAUCUGCCUUCUUUAUGUACUUAGUUUCAGAUUGUAUCCUUUUUAUUUGUCUUGUGGUAACGCAUACCCUGACGAUGACUGUAAGGCAUUUCUAUUCAUAAUCAGUGGACAUGAAAACAUGUAAAACUCAUCUUCCAUACCAUUUUGUUGUACAUUAUGACUGGAUAUAGAUGUGUCAUGGAUGAAGCAGAUCUUUAAAUCAAGAUCGAUGCUGUUUUUUGACUACCUUACAGAUUUACAGCUUUCCUUCACUCGUGGUUAGGCUAGAUAAAUGCUCUUCUAUACUUCUCUUUCCAAGUAAUGCUACACAACAAAAUUAAAAUUAUGAUAUUGACCUAGCAUCGACUUCUGUUCCUUUCCUAGCUUUGUAUUAUUUUACUGCUCACUUUGUUGCCUUAUGAGAUAAAACUUAUAGUUGCAAUUGAAUAUUCCUUUAUGCUCUAACUAAGAGCAUAAUGUGCACUUACUUAGAUCUUCUUUUAUUGCAGUGUAGACUGCUAUAGAGGUACAUUGCGUAGCAAGAAUUGAUAUGGUGUGCUGAUAGGUUCAUAAUCAAGAAGGAUCAACCCUAUUCUAAGGUCAAUAUAUGCUUCUUUGGAAAUGAUCAAUCAUCUUAUUAGGUCAAGGCGGACUUGAAGGAAUACAUGUGGCCACCUUUGUAUGGCCAGUCGUUUUGUAGACUUUCAGUAUCCGUCAUCUGUCGUUGGGUUCGCUCUGCCUGAGCCAGGAUCUUCUCGGCCCUGCUCUGGUGUUGUGAAAACUCAUGCAUUUCGACAGCUGCCUCCAUGCUCCAACUAUUGCAGCCUGCAGGUAGCCUCUUCGUUCUUUUUUCUCUACCUUUCCGCUUGCUCUGCUAAAGUGUGACGUGUGUGUGCUUGGCUGCUUGUACUUGCACUGAAAUUGUAUGAAUGGCAGCAAGAUUUAGCAACAACCAACAUUAGUCCGGCUUAAUCCCAGCAGCAAAUCUCCUGAUAUGGACAAAUAGUAGUACUGAUAUAUAACCAUGCUGAUAUGCAAAGAUAAACCUUUUCCUGUUUGCAAAUUCCUAAUUUUCUAUGUAAACCAAAAUGGUACUCAUGGCUCUACUCACCUCCUCCUGUUUGCAAAUUUUGUGGUUGUGCAAUUUUACAGAGCUGAAUGAUAUAAAAAUUGUAUCUUAAAGCAAUAUAAUAGUUUAUAUCUUUCAUUUUGGAUGCGCUUGAUUUGAAUGUAUGCUUGAUUAAAAUCAGUUGCACUGGUGUCUAUAAGGAUAGCCCUAAAAUCAUUCGAGCUUUACAACACUGACCGCGAGAGGUAAAGCAAGACCAUUGGAACAAAAAUAUGAUUUACCAUACGGUCAAAUUACAUUAGAGUUAGCUGACAAUAAUUGUUUCAUUGCUGCUUUGUCCUGGUUGACCAUUGCAUGUCCUAAUAAAACUUGGAUUGUUUUGAUCUUUUUUAAGGUAGAAUUUUAUAAGAGGAUAGAAUUUUGUAUUUUUCUUAUGGUAUAUGCAUCAUGAAAGAAAUGCAUGAACUAAGCGCUCAGCUUCAAAGACUAAUCAAUUUUACAUCGAUAUGAAAAAAGGCGGCACGAACUAAGCGCUCUGCUCCAGAGCAAUGUGAUAUGUUUUCUGUACUGUACAGCUACCCUUUAAUGCAGUACUCAGACUUCAUACAAAUGACUUGAUCUAAUUAUUAUUAAUGACAUGUGGAGUGUGUUGCUUUCUAUAUAGAUGAUUUGCUCUAAUUCAGAUUUAUCAUACUGCAUAGCUUUUGAUCCAUUCCUUUUUGCCAAACUUGAUGUGUUGAGCUUUGAGUUACUAUACUGUUUUGGAUCUUGCACUUGGGCCGUGCAACACGCGCCAAGGCGCGCUUCCCUCCUUUUGUGGUAGAGAAUGGUGUGCCUUCGUAUACAAUAAGUGUUCUCUACUCUUGCAACCCAUGUAUUAUAAUUGUUAUUAUUGUCAUCCACUUAUAAUGAUGAGAUGUGAUCAUGCACUUGCGUUAUCCAAUUUCUUACUGCUAUUAGGUAAGUAAUGGAGUUGGUAUCAUCACUUUUACAUUGUGUAGAUUGUUUCGUGGUCAAGAUAAAAUCAUGCGGUUUUCUUUCUCAUGUGAAUCUGAAGGACCUGAUGCAUGUUUCUGUGCUCACUGGUUUUCUUUUGUCCCUGACCAUUAUGUACUUAUAGCAUUUCAAAUAGACAUAAUUAAUUUUUCCCAUUCAGAUAUCAUAUGCUUUGCCUAUUUACCAAUGCCACUGUUUGUAGUCUCAUGCCUCUCUGUCAUGAUUCUCCCAAUCUGAAAGAGGUAGAGAAAAAUUACUUUUUUGAUAGGGUUUGCCAAUAUACUUAAACUUAAGGCUUUUUUAGGGGUUCACUUGUGUGCGACACCAUCUGUUGGAGGUGUGAAGAUGAUACCCAAGAAAUGUAGAACAUUGCUUUGUUAGGGGUUCACUUGUGUACAACACCAUCUGGACUAUCUAUCUUUCUAUGGUAGUGAACUGUAACAUUCCUUUUGGUUUGGGUCUGAGCGCUGGACUGCAUACCAAGACUGCUUUUUGGAAUUCCAAUAUACUUAUACUUGGAGAAAGAAGCGAAAGUUGAGGGCCAGGUUGUUCAGAGUAUAUUUGUAUAUUUGUUACAACAAGUGAUUUGGUAUGUACAUUUCAUAUGAAAUCUGUCAAUGGAGUGUGAUGGACCUUGAUGUUUUGUACUGAACCAUUAGUAAGUGUUUACUACA